rnacentral:tRNA from 1 species
GGACGCUUAGCUCAGCUGGUUAGAGCGCUGUCUUCACACGGCAGAGGUCGCCGGUUCGAAUCCGGCAGUGUCCACCA